rnacentral:rRNA from 1 species
CAGCCGCCACGGUAAUACGAAGGGUGCAAGCGUUACUCGGAAUUACUGGGCGCAAAGCGUGCGUAGGUGGUGGUUUAAGUCCGUUGUGAAAGCCCUGGGCUCAACCUGGGAAUUGCAGUGGAUACUGGGUCGCUAGAGUGUGGUGGAGGAUAGUGGAAUUUCCGGUGUAGCAGUGAAAUGUGUAGAGAUCGGAAGGAACAUCUGUGGCGAAGGCGACUAUCUGGGCCAACACUGACACUGAGGCACGAAAGCGUGGGGAGCAAACAGGAUUAGAUACCCCCGUAGUCCCUGUCUCUUAUAC